CAACACUUCCAUCACAGAGACACAUAACACAGUUUCCUUCUCAAUAACUUAUUAAUUGAUGUACAACUUAAUUAUACAGUUACGCAACAAGAACACACACGAUCAGAUCACUCGUCUUCUUUGAGAUCUGUAUACCCAUGGCUACAUGUUGUGCUUUGCUCCGGUAAUCAAGGGCAGCACACCAUGCUUAUACAUAAAAGCUACAUAUAUAGAAGGUAUAGCUAGGCAGCUAGCCCUAGCCACCAUGGAUAGAUCGAUUAUUAGUCGUCCUCGCCCUCGCCCUGCCUAACAUAGGGCAACAAUGUCCGCGAAGUCGUCGAUUCCCAUGGAGAGCACGGGGUCGUCUUCAACCACAUUGUUGUCCAUGUUGAUGUAAUUCUCGCUGUUGUUACCAUGUUCAGGAGCAGCGGUGACACCAGUGUUAUUAGUUGCACUACCUGCGCCGGCGGCGGCCACCAUGGCCACAUCAGCGACGGGUUCAAUAGCUGCUGGCACGGGCAUGGGCAAGGGCACGUUCGACCGAGUGAAGAGGCGGUAGAGAUUGAGGGCGUGCCUCUUGGCGAUGGCCUUGAUAUCGGGAAGCGGGAGGCUGCCGCGGCGGUACUCGGGGACGUAGGGCCGCGGCGCGCCGGGGAAGUUGAACUUGCGCGGUGGGGUGUCUCCGUAGAAGCAAAAGAGUGCGACGUCGUAGGCGAGUGCCGCCUGCUCAGGGCACUGGAAUGUGCCGAUCCACAGCCUGGCGCGAGUGCGGGGCACGCGGAUCUCCGCCGCCCACCGACCCCAGUGCCGCUGGCGCACGCCCAUAAGCCCCAAGUUCUUGCGAGGCACCGACGACUUCGAGCUUGCACCGCGGCGGCGGUGGGCGCGGCGGCCAACUUCCUCCCUCCUCAUCACCCUAGUGUUCGCCUCCAUGCACAAGCGCCUGCAAGGAAAAACACUCGUGCGCUAUGAGGAAGAAGGACGAAGAGAGAAUGCCGGUGGCGUGUGGUGCACAGGGGGCCGGGCAGUACGUAUGGCUUUAAAGUGUAGCACGGCACCGAAUAGGGGACACUUGGCUGCACGCAUGCACCAGCACUACUCAUCAUUUAUGACGGGGAUACACCUUCUAGAUAUGCAUCGACCUUGGCAAGGUUUCACUUACUCCCACCUAAACCCGAUUAUUAAUGAAGCUAAUCCAUAUUUGUCUCUUUCCUCCAAAAAAAUCUAUAUUUGUCUCUGAACAUUUAUAGAGAAAAUUACAUAUUGCAUCCCCUACCUAUACGAAAAGUGCAGGUCGGUCCCAAACUUUAAAAUUGAAAUAUCAAACUCAAACCUUUCAAACCAGACAUAUUUGGUCCCUCUACUCACCCGAAGUGGUAUGGAUGCUGGCGUGACCUAGAUUUUGUCAACUAGGCAUCCACCUCACCCCCUUCCCCCAUCACCACGAGCGCGCAUGCCAUGGACGAGCCCCGAUGAACCAUCCCGCAGGUGUUGGUUUGGCUGCAUCUGGGGUGGACAACGCUAAUGCACGUAUGGAUUGAGAGGCUAGAGCUGGUCAUAGUCGUGUACCAAACGAGUGGAACGAGGGUUUUGCGUUACAUGGACAAGAACCCAAUAGCAAGGCAAUGAACGUCCUAAUGAAAGCAUGUCAUCAUCGCCACAUGCAUGCCGCCACUAUUUUGUUGUUGUCGCAAUGCACAACCGCUUGUCUAGGCCGAAUUGAUGCAACCUCCACUCUGAUCAUUCUUUCCCCUCCUCGCAUCCCUACACGAGCUCUUGUUGGGGAACGAAGUAAUUUCAAAAAAAUUCCUACGCACACGCAAGAUCAUGGUGAUGCGUAGCAACUAGAGGGGAGAGUGUUGUCCAUGUACCCUCGUAGACCGAAAGCGGGAGCAUUAGCACAACGUGGUUGAUGUAGUCGUACAUCUUCACGACCCGACCGAUCAAGCACCGACGCACGGCACCUCCGAGUUCUGCACACAUUCAACUCGAUGACGUCCCUCGAACUCCGAUCCAGCCGAGCUUUGAGGGAGAGUUUCGUCAGCAUGAUGGUGUGGGGACGAUGAUGUUCUACCGACACAUGGCUUCGCCUAAGCGCCGCUACGACAUGACCGAGGUGGAUUAUGGUGGAGGGGGGCACCGCACACGGCUAAGAGAUCCAAGGGAUCAAUUGUUGUGUCUCUAGGGGGUGCCUCCCUCCCCGUAUAUAAAGGAGUAGAGGAGGGGGAGGGGGUCGGCCACCCUUGGUGCGCCCCAUGAGGAUUCCUACUCCCACCGGGAGUAGGACUCCCCUCUUUCCAUGUUGGAGUAGGAGAGGGGAGGGAAGGAGAAAGAGGGAGAAAGGAAAGGGGGGGCGCCGCCCCCCUUCCUAGUCCAAUUCGGACUUGGGAGGGGAGGGGCGCGCGGCUGCCCCUUGGCUGCCUCUCCUCUUCCACCAAUUGGGCCCAUGAGGCCCAUUAACCUUCGAGGGGGUUCCGGUAACCCCCCGGUACUCCGGUAUAUAUCCGAUAACCCCCGGAACCAUUCCGGUGUCCGAAUAUAGUCGUCCAGUAUAUCAAUCUUCAUGUCUCGACCAUUUCGAGACUCCUCGCCAUGUCUGUGAUCACAUCCGGGACUCCGAACUACCUUCAGUACAUCAAAACAUAUAAACUCAUAAUAUAACCCUCAUCGAACUUUAAGCGUGCGGACCCUACGGGUUUGAGAACUAUGUAGACAUGACCGAGACAUGUAACCGGUCAAUAACCAAUAGCGGAACCUGGAUGCUCAUAUUGGCUCCUACAUAUUCUACGAAGAUCUUUAUCGGUCAAACCGCAUAACAACAUACGUUGUUCCCUUUGUCAUCGGUAUGUUACUUGCCCGAGAUUCGAUCGUCGGUAUCUCAAUACCUAGUUCAAUCUCGUUACCGGCAAGUCUCUUUACUCGUUCCAUAAUACAUCAUCCCGCAAAUAACUCAUUAGUUGCAAUGCUUGCAAGGCUUAAGUGAUGUGUAUUACCGAGUGGGCCCAGAGAUACCUCUCCGACAAUCGGAGUGAAAAAUCCUAAUCUCGAAAUACGCCAACCCAACAAAUACCUUUGGAGACACCUGUAGAGCACCUUUAUAAUCACCCAGUUACGUUGUGAUGUUUGGUAGCACACAAAGUGUUCCUUCAGUAAACGGGAGUUGCAUAAUCUCAUAGUCACAGGAACAUGUAUAAGUCAUGAAGAAAGCAAUAGCAACAAACUAAACGAUCAAGUGCUAAGCUAACGGAAUGGGUCAAGUCAAUCACAUCAUUCUCCUAAUGAUUUGAUCUCGUUAAUCAAAUGACAACUCAUGUCUAUGGCUAGGAAACAUAGCCAUCUUUGAUUAACGAGCUAGUCUAGUAGAGGCAUACUAGUGACACUUUGUUUGUCUAUGUAUUCACACAUGUAUCAUGUUUCCGGUUAAUACAAUUCUAGCAUGAAUAAUAAACAUUUAUCAUGAUAUAAGGAAAUAAAUAAUAACUUUAUUAUUGCCUCUAGGGCAUAUUUCCUUCAGCUCUCCCUCAUCACACAGACCUCAUUGUGCAUUCAUGCAUCUUUCCCGUCCUUUAAUAUCAAGAAUGGCCCCUUUAUCCCACCCAGCUUCGUCUACGCCUUUUUGGCCUUUUCCCGUCAAGCGUCACCCCAUCAUUUCUCGAUGAGACAUUCCGCCGACAUUCGUUUGGCAGCAUUGAGGGUGGAUAGCACUCAUGCAUGUACAGAUCGAGACGCUAGAGUUGUCUUAGUUGUGUGCCAAACCAGUGGGACGAGGGGUUUUGCGUUACAUGGUCAAGAGCCCAACAAAAAGACAACUAACAUCUGAAUAAAGCAUGUCGUCAUAUCCACAAGCGCUACCCCAUCAUUUCUCGAUGAACCAUCCCACUGGCAUUGGUUUCACAUCAUCUGGGGUGGACAACGCUCAUGCACAUAUGGAUUAAAAGGCUAGAGUCUUAGUCGUGUACCAAACUAGUGGGAUGAGGACUUUGUGUUACAUGGUCAAGAGACCAACAAAAAGGUAACUAACGUCCGAACGAAAGCAUGUCGUCAUCUCCACAUGCAUUAUGUCGCUAUUUUGUUGUUGUCACAAUGCCCAACAACUGCUUCUCUAGGCCGAAACGAAUCAACCUCCACUCUAGUCAUUCUUUCCCCUCCCCGCAUCCCUGCACAAGCUCCCUCGUCACCCAGACCUCAUUGUGCAUCCAUGCACCUUCUCUGUCCUUUAGCGUCGAGGAUGACCGCUUAAUCCCACCCAGCUUCAUCUAUGCAUUCUUGGCCUUUUCCCUUGAAGUGCCAACUCAUCAUUUCCCAUGCUUUUCUUCCACCUUCUCCGUCUAGCUUGUUAAGAUCGAGAGUGACUCGCUGUCCUCUCUACGGGGACCAUAUCGGGCCUAGGUUGUGCACCUAACUUCAUAUCAUGGGAAUUUCAUCAAUAUUUAGGCUAGGCUAGGAAACAAUAGAGAAGGUGGUGGAUGCAGUGUUAGAACCCAUGAAUGGACGGAGAGAGAGAGAGAGGAGGGAGGGAGGGAGAGCGAGCGAGAGAGAGACGGGGGAGAGGGAGAGAGAGUUGGAUUCUAGCAUGGGUACCCAAUCAGGAAAAAUGGGCCACAUUAGGACCAAUACGGCUUCAGAUAAGGAAGGUACUAAAUGUGUCCGCUUUGGAAAGUGUAUGGUUUGAUUUGUCCGAUUUGAAGUGUGAGGGACUAAACCCGCACCUUUUGUAUAGUUGGGGCAAAAGUGUAUAUAUCGUAUGAAAUUGAUAUGACGCCACUACAUUGAAGUCGUCGAAUAUAUUUGUAUGUAUAUCGCAAAGAUAUAGUUUGCAAACUGCCUAUCAUAUAUUUAUACAUACUCACUAAUUUUUUUAUGCUAAGAGAAAGAUAAAUCUCCACAAAAGUAACGUAUGGAAGAUAUGCGCAUGCAUGCAAUGUUGUUCACGGUUAGCCUCGAAUUCUCUACAUGAGUUUCAAGCCUUAAUUUAUGGCUGAUUUGGCAAAUAUGUUUAUUCUUUAUCUGUAAAUGAAACCUCAUAAAAUUAUUCCUAGGAGUGAGUCACUUUCUUCCCACCACAAUGGCGAUACUAAACUUGAACCGGUCAAUGAUUAUACUUAUAGUGAUAUGUUGGCGUCCAUGUUGUUAGCAUCGUGAGUGACAUGCUAUUUGUGUGGGCCGAAUGUUUGAGGGAUAAGGCUGAGUUUGUGGUCUUGGAAGACAAUGUACUGAAACAAGACCUUGUCAAAUGUUUCUCACAUGCUCAAACAAAUUAAAAUGUUUACGGUUGUGGAACCCUAAAAUAAGAUGUGUUGUAUGUGGGGAUGACUACAAUAGAAACAACCCUUGUGGUGAAAGGAUAGAAAAAUCAACUUGGGUCAUCAGAUCGGAGAUAGAUGGCAUAGAUGCAAGUUACAAAACUCAAACCAUAAAGUUUUAAAACUUACACCGAUGAGUUCCAAAACUUAAACUAAUCUGAGUCAUGUAUCUUCAAUCUAAUGACCCAUGUUGAUUUGUUUUAUUCUUUCACCAAAAGGUUUUUUCUAUUAUAGUUGUCUGGAUUGCAUGUUUACAUAACAAUUUGGCAUUGAUCUCCAUUAUACCUUAACACUAGGGAAUGAUGACUUAUGUGUUGAUCAAUUGAGAUGUCAUGUGUGUUCAAAGGGUCAGUGGUUGAUCUUUAUUAAGAGAAAAAUGAGUAUAGAAGUAUAUGAGGGGACAACACAGAGAUUCUGUUUGAGAGGUUGUAGCAGUAAAAGAGAGGGCUACAAUCAUGCUACCGAUGAGCUACUUAGAGAUACCUAAAGCUGAUGUAGCAGCCGACAACCUUCAACAUUCUAAAGUCCUCUAUGAUGACCCCAAAUCCCCCUGUUCAGUGCUAGAUGUGGCAUUGAAUAUCCUUGUGUUCCUCUCUUUCCAAAUCAUCCAUUGAACCAGAAUGGCCAUCAUGUCGAAGUCAUUUAUUUGUCUCUCGUGGACUACCUUCCUAGCUGUUAAGCAUUGUUCCUUAGUAGGAACAAAGUUUGUGCUCGGGGUGGGAAAGUCAACUCCAACCUAGUCAUGCACCUUGGCCCACACCUGCUGAGGGAACCUGCACUGAAUAAACAUGUGCGAGCAACACUCUGGGAGGGGAGGCACAUCUGGCAGGUUGUCUAGUGUGGCCACCCAAGAAACUGCAAGUUGUCUAUAGUGAGACAUUUCCUAUGAACAUUGAGCCACAAGAAGCAUUUGCAAUGGGGUAGAUUUGACUUCUAUAUGGCCUUAGGAUAGGCAAAGCAUUGAUUUGCCACAAAGGAAAAAAUGUAUGCGCUUUUGAUAGAGAAGGUCAUGUGAAUGGAAGGUCUCCACACAACCGCAUCAUAAACACUAUGUAUCAGGUUGGCCUCCAUAACAAGAUCCUAGAGGCAAUGGUAGUGAGGGAGAGCAUGGGGAAAGGCCACCAUGAAUGUCCCUAGUAUUGUUGUUGUGGUUGAGGCCCUCCGCCACUGUGUGAUCUUGCCUACGCACAUAGGUGACAAGAACAGAGGCGACGUCCUGGACUGACUUCCCACCGAGGAGCUAGUUAUCUCUCACUAAAGAAUUAUGUGUGGCAACCAUCAUCCAAAUGGGCAAGUGAACCUGCACUAAAGAGGGUGUCCGCUGCCAUGUCGACGUCGUUAGGGACAAGGAUCCAAGGGUGCGACUCGAGAUUCCAACGCGACCAAUCCCAUUUGCAGCGGAGCAUUGUGCCGAAAUGACGUAGAUUAAGGAUCACAAGGCUGUCAUUUUGGAUUGGCAUGCAGAUUCAUGACCAUGACAAGAGGCAAUGAUGGCCAUUUACCUCUGCUUUUCCUUUCGAUACAAAGGCACAACAACAAUGAUUGAAAAUGUUGAGAGCCCUUGCUGGCGGGUGGAGCACCAAUUGGAAGUUCGGCAGAAGCGCCAUCAAGGAUAAUUCAGUGAGGGUGAGGCGACCACCCAUGGACAGAGGUUUGAACUUCUGGCUAGCUAGAUUAUUCAAGAAAUUGUCGAGGAGAGGCCAAAAGUCAUCACAUCAAAGGUGUACAAUUGUGAGGAGGUCAAGGUAUUUCAGAUGAAGUGGUUGCAACUUGCUUUACAAAUGAGUAGCAACCUCCCCUGCCAGAUCGUCGCUGCACAAAUUACACCACAGUGUUCUUCUGAAGGUUGAUCUAGAGGUGCAUGCCUCCCAAAGAGGUGUGGGAUGUUUAGGACCACUUCCUUGUCAUAGGGAGAGGGUCUAAAUAAGAUGAUCAUGUUGUCCACAAAAAUGGAUGCCAUGGGGAUGCAGUGGGGUCCAAGUCGAGGCUCGUCCAACAUGCCAUGUAGCGUACUCAUGGCUAAUAUGAACAGAGUGGAGGUUAGAGAUCGACAUGUCAAACUCCUAUUUCGGGAAGCAGGUGGGUUGCACUCCCCAUUGAUUAGGAUAGUGAUGGACGCCGAGCGAAUGAGACAACAGUUGCAAGAGCGACAACGUGCACCGAAGUCAUGCCGACAAAGAACCUACAUGAGGAAUCCCUAGGCCAUCGAAUUAACCUUUGAUAUGUUAAUCUUUAUAAGCACUUAUUCUGAUCUGCGGUGGUAGAGAAGGUUUAUCGAGCUACACCAGAUUCGGAUUCUCAUGGAUAGAAUGCAUGGAAGUGAACCUGCUCUAGGCAUGGGAAAUUAUUGUGGGAAGGAGUGACCCCAUUGGCGAAGCCCCAGAGCCAGCUUUCAUCUUCUGGCAGGGGUCGAGUGCACUACGCUUUCUCAAGCUAAAAGGUCACUUCAUUGGCAACCCUUAUUUUAUGUUUUAUGACAUAUGAUGCAAGUACUCCCCAAUUUACCAUUUUCUCUUGAUAGGUCUUGUGUCGUUUCAAUACAUAAAUAUGAUGUCUCUACGAGUUUCCCCAUUUAUCUGCUAGAGCAUUAUUCUUUAAACAAGAGCCGCAUCCAGCCUAUAUGGUUUUUUAAUGAUUUUUUCCAACAAUAGAUUUCACAUUGGCCUAUUUUUAUCUUUAUGAGGAAUUGGGAACUAUUACGUAAAAUUAUGUUGGUUGCUUCAACUAGGUUUGGACUCUUUCCCUCAUCCUCAUGUCGGGUUGCUAGGGCACUCUCCCCUUCAAGCUUUGCCUUCAAGACCAUGGAUCCACAUCCCCUCCGCCUACUGCUUAGGCGGCCGGUGAUGGGGAGGGGCUCCCGAUGCCACGAUUUCGACUAGUCAUUUAGGUUAGGGUUUUUCCUCGAAGGGGUGGUGCUCUUGCGGGAUGGCGACGCUUCAUGUUCGAGUUGGUCUUUCAGGCUUCGAUUCUUCUCGAGUUCGUUCGUCGGGACGGAGUCAGCGUAGCUUUGACAUAGAUUCAUGCUAUCUCAUAAGAGCGGCGAGGUUUUUUUCACGGGAAUGCCACUUGGCAGUUUUAUUUCGACUUUAAAAGAGUUACAUCCUUAAGUACAUGCGGUAAAACAAAACUAAGUGGAUCGUCGUCCCACCAAUACAUCACAUUUGAUUCAAAAGCAUGUCUAGCUAAGGUGUGUGCCAAAGUGUUUGCUUCCCGUGGACAGUGCUGAAAACGAAUUGAAGAGAUCUCGUGAACAUAAUGGAAGCAGUCUGCCAGGAUAGCUGAGUAAGGAGCCAAGAUGUCCAUAUCGUUGUUACAUGCGUUGAUCACUUGAAGGCAAUCUGAUUCAACAAUCACAUUUGAACAGCCAAUCUGGUUCAUGAGUUGCAGUCCUCGUUGCAACGCCAUCGCUUCUGCGAAGAUAUCAUUCUUUGCAUGGUGAAAGGUUCAGCUACACCCGACAUAGCUUCACCACGAGAAUUUCGCAGUAUCGCCACUAUCGCUCCCGAACCAUCCUCGAAGAAAGAUGCAUCUGUGUUUAGUUUAUAAGAUCCGUGGAAAGGUUUAUCCCAUCCACCCUUUACUACCUGAGCAUGGUCUGACCUGAUGGAGGUAUUUGCUAUGAUCGCAUGAAUGGCAAAUGCGGUACUUUUCAGACGUUUGGCGGAUUCUCCCUUACAUGCCUCCCUUCUCUCCCACCAAAUAUACCAUGCCCCCACUACAAUAGUUUCAUGAAGGCCAAGCUGUCCAAGAACAGGUGAACACCCACGAGGGCGACGAAGGAUAUCUUCAAGGACCACCGAUCCAAAUCUGUCAAUAGACAAAGCUUGUCGUAUGAUGUCAUCCAGACCGAGAGCCCGCCAUACUGCGCAAUCUCGUCUGCAAGUAAAAAAGCAGAUGUUUCAUAUCUUCAAGGUCCUUCUUGCAGACCGGGCACAUAGGAGAAACUUAAAUGUGUCUGCAAGUUAGUACAGCCAUACAAGUGAUCAAGCCAUGAAGCGCCCGCCAUAUGAAUAUCCUUAGCUUGCUGGGAAAAUCUAGCUUCCAAACUGUCUCCCGGCCAGAUUUGUAAAAGAGUGCUCUGACUGCUAGUGAAUUUUGUGCCAUAUUGAUGUUCCCAUUCCAUGUAAUGUGUAGAACGAAUUGAGAACAAAAAGGAUUUAGUAUGAUCUCAUACAACAAAGUCCUUGGUGAGGUGCUCCGAAAGAGGUAGUUUUAGGAUUCUUUCUGCAUCCACCGGCAAAAAUACACUCCUAAUGAGAUCCUCAUCCUAGCUUGAUGUAUCCGACUGUUGGGGAACGUAGUAUUUCAAAAUUUUCCUACAAUCACGCAAGAUCUAUCUAGGAGAAGCAUAGCAACGAGCGGGGAGAGUGUGUCCAUGUACCCUCGUAGAAAGAAAGCGAAAGCGUUUAGUAACGCGGUUGAUGUAGUCGAACGUCUUCGUGAUCCAACCGAUCCAAGUACCAACCGCACGGUACCUCCGCAAUCUGCACACAUUCAGCUUGGUGACGUCCCUUGAAUUAUUGAUAAAGUUGAGGCUGAGGGAGAGUUUCGUCAGCACAACGGCGUGGUGACGGUGAUGAUGAUGUUACCGGCCCAGGGCUUCUCCUAAGCACUACAACAAUAUGACCGAGGUGUUAACUGUGGAGGGGGGCGCCGCACAUGGCUAGGAACAAUUGAUGUGUGUUCUAGGGGUGACCUCCCCACGUAUAUAAAGGAGGGAGAAGGAGGGAGGCAGCCUAGGGCGCGCCCAAGUAGGAGGAAUCCUACUUGGGCCCCUAGUCCAUAUUUGGACAAGGGGGAAAGGAAGGAGGGGGGGAAGGAAGUAGUAGUCCUACUUCAUACUUUCCUUUUCCUCACCCCCUUUUCCUUUCUCCCCACAUGGCUGGCCCUAUAGGGGGCGCACCAUCCCCUUGUGGGCUGGUGUGUUCCCUUACUUGGCCCAUUAAGCCCAUAUCUUUGCCGGGGUUUGCCCGGAACCCCUUCCGAUGACCCGGUAUCACCCGGAACACUUUCGGUGUUCGAAUAUAGCCUUCCAAUAUAUGAAUCUUUACCUCUCGACCAUUUCAAGACUCCUCGUCAUGUCCGUGAUCUCAUCCGGGACUCCGAACAAACUUCGGUACAUCAAAUCACAUAGCUCAUAAUACAAAUCAUCAUCGAACGUUAAGCGUGCGGACCCUACGGGUUUGAGAACUAUGUAGACAUGACCGAGACACAUCUCCGAUCAAUAACCAAUAGCGGAACCUGGAUGCUCAUAUUGGUUCCAACAUAUUGUACGAAAAUCUUUAUUGGUCAAACCGCAUAACAACAUACGUUGUUCCCUUUGUCAUCGGUAUGUUACUUGCCCGAGAUUCGAUCAUCGGUAUCAUCAUACCUAGUUCAAUCUCGUUACCGGCAAGUAUCUUUACUCAUUCCAUAAUUCAUCAUACCGCAACUAACUCAUUAGUCACAUUGCUUGCAAGGCUUAUAGUGAUGUGCAUUACCGAGAGGGCCCAGAGAUACCUCUUUGACAAUCAGAGUGACAAAUCCUAAUCUCGAUCUGUGCCAACUCAACAAACACCAUCGGAGACACCUGUAGAGCAUCUUUAUAAUCACCCAGUUACGUUGUGACGGUUGAUAGCACACAAGGUGUUCCUCCGGUAUUCGGGAGUUGCAUAAUCUCAUAGUAAGAGGAACAUGUAUAAGUCAUGAUGAAAGCAAUAGCAAUAAAACUAAACGAUCAUUUAUGCUAAGCUAAUGGAUGGGUCAUGUCCAUCACAUCAUUCUCUAAUGAUGUGAUCCUGUUCAUCAAAUGACAACACAUGUCUAUGGUUAGGAAACUUAACCAUCUUUGAUUAACGAGCUAGUCAAGUAGAGGCAUACUAGGGACACUCUGUUUGUCUAUGUAUUCACACAUGUACUAAGUUUCCGGUUAAUACAAUUCUAGCAUGAAUAAUAAACAUUUAUCAUGAUAUAAGGAAAUAUAGAUAACAACUUUAUUAUUGCCUCUAGGGCAUAUUUCCUUCACCGACACCACCAACUCAUUAAUUAUUCUCAACAAAGUAUUUCCACGUCUAGUGAUAACCAUACGUGUCUGACUAGAUGGAAUCCAGUGAUCGUCCCAAAUACUAAUUUUAUCUCCUGAGCCAAUUCUCCAAAUAUGACUUCUCCGAAAGGUUUGGAGUCCCGCAAAAAUACUUAUAAUGCUACCGCCGUACUAAGCAAAAUAAGAUGCAUAAAAGAUAAACAUCACAUGCAAUCAAAAUAUGUGACAUGAUAUGGCCAUCAUCAUCUUGUGCCUUUGAUCUCCAUCUCCAAAGUACUAUCAUGAUCUCCAUCGUCACCGGCAUGACACCAUGAUCUCCAUCAUCUUGAUCUUUAUCAACUUGUCGUCACAUGGUCGUCUCGCCAACUAUUGAUUUUGCAACUAUUACUAUCGCAUAGCGAUAAAGUAAAGAAAUUAUAUAGCGCUUGCAUCUUAUGCAAUAAAGAGACAACCAUAAGGCUCCUGCCAGUUGUCGAUAACUUUAACAAAGCAUGAUCAUCUCAUACAACAAUUUAUAUCUCAUCACGUCUUGACCAUAUCACAUCACAACAUGCCCUGCAAAAACAAGUUAGACGUCCUCUACUUUGUUGUUGCAAGUUUUACGUGGCUGCUACAGGCUUCUAGCAAGAACCGUUCUUACCUACGCAUCAAGACCACAACGAUUUUUCGUCAAGUGUGUUGUUUUAACCUUCAACAAGGACCGGGCAUAGUCAAACUCGAUUCAACUAAAGUUGGAGAAACAGACACCCGCCAGCCACCUGUGUGCAAAGCACGUCGGUAGAACCAGUCUCAUGAACAUGGUCAUGUAAUGUCGGUCCGGGCCGCUUCAUCCAACAAUACCGCAGAAUCAAAGUAAGACGUUGCUGGUAAGCAGUAUGACUAUUAUCGCCCACAACUCUUUGUGUUCUACUCGUGCAUAUAACAUCUACGCAUAGACCUGGCUUGGAUGCCACUGUUGGGGAAUGUAGUAUUUCAAAAACUUCCUAUGAUCACGCAAGAUCUAUCUAGGAGAAGCAUAUCAACGAGCGGGGAGAGUGUGUCCACGUACCCUCGUAGACCGAAAGCGGAAGCAUUUAGUAACGCGGUUGAUGUAGUCAAACGUCUUCGCGAUCCAACCGAUCCAAGUACCGAACGCACGGCACCUCCGCGAUCUGCACACGUUCACCUCGGUGACGUCCCUCGAACUCUUGAUCCAAUUGAGGCCGAGGGAGAGUUUCAUCAGCACGACGGCGUGGUGACGGUGAUGAUGAUGUUACCGGCGCAGGGCUUCGCCUAAGCACUACGACGAUAUGACCGAGGUGUUAACUAUGGAGGGGGCACCGCACACAGCUAGGAACAAUUGAUGUGUGUUCUAGGGGUGCCCUCCCCACGUAUAUAAAGGAGGGAGAGGGAGGGAGGCAGCCUAGGGCGCGCCCAAGUAGGAGGAAUCCUACUUGGACCCCUAGUCCAUAUUUGGACAAGGGGGAAAGGAAGGAGGGAGGAAGGAAGCAGCAGUCCUACUUCAUACUUUCCUUUUCCUCCUCUCCUUUUCCUUUCUCCCCAUGUGGCUGGCCCUAUAGGGGGCGCACCAUCCCCUUGUGGGCUGGUGUGUUCCCUUACUUGGCCCAUUAAGCCCAUAUCUUUGUCGGGUUUGCCCGGAACCCCUUCCGAUGACCCGAUAUCACCCGGAACACUUUCGGUGUUCGAAUAUAGCCUUCCAAUAUAUGAAUCUUUACCUCUCAACCAUUUCGAGACUCCUCGUCAUGUCCGUGAUCUCAUCCGGGACUCCAAACAAACUUCGUUACAUCAAAUCACAUAACUCAUAAUACAAAUCGUCAUCGAAUGUUAAGCAUGCGGACCCUACGGGUUCGAGACCUGUGUAGACAUGACCGAGACACAUCUCCGGUCAAUAACCAAUAGAGGAACCUGGAUGCUCAUAUUGAUUCCUACAUAUUCUACGAAGAUCUUUAUCGGUCAAAGCUCAUAACAACAUACGUUGUUCCCUUUUUCAUCGGUAUGUUACUUGCCUGAGAUUCGAUCAUCGGUAUCAUCAUACCUAGUUCAAUCUCGUUACCAGCAAGUCUCUUUACUCAUUCCAUAAGGCAUCAUCCCACAACUAACUCAUUAGUCACAUUGCUUGCAAGGCUUAUAGUGAUGUGCAUUGCCGAGAGGGCCCAGAGAUACCUCUCUGGCAAUCAGAGUGACAAAUCCUAAUCUCAAUCUAUGCCAACUCAACAAACACCAUCGGAGACACCUAUAGAGCAUCUUUAUAAUCACCCAGUUAUGUUGUGACGUUUGAUAGCACACAAGGUGUUCCUCUAGUAUUCAGGAGUUGCAUAAUAUCAUAGUAAGAGGAACAUGUAUAAGUCAUGAUGAAAGCAAUAGCAAUAAAACUAAACGAUCAUUUAUGCUAAGCUAACGGAUGGGUCAUGUCCAUCACAUCAUUCUCUAAUAAUGUGAUCCCGUUCAUCAAAUGACAACACAUGUCUAUGGUUAGGAAACUUAACCAUCUUUGAUUAACGAGCUAGUCAAGUAGAGGCAUACUAGGGACACUCUGUUUGUCUAUGUAUUUACACAUGUACUGAGUUUCUGGUUAAUACAAUUCUAGCAUGAAUAAUAAACAUUUAUCAUGAUAUAAGGAAAUAUAAAUAACUACUUUAUUAUUGCCUCUAGGGCAUAUUUCCUUUGGUCUACCACUUGCACUAGAGUCAAUAAUCUAGUUCACAUCGACAUGUGAUUUAACACCAAUAGUUUACAUCGUCAUGUGAUUUAACACUCUAUAGUUCACAUCGCUAUGUGACCAAUACCCAAAGGGUUUACUAGAGUCAAUAAUCUAGUUCACAUCGCCAUGUGAUUAACACCCAAAGAGUACUAAGGUGUGAUCAUGUUUUGCUUGUGAGAGAAGUUUAGUCAAUGGGUCUGCCACAUUCAGAUCCGUAUGUAUUUUGCAAAUUUCUAUGUCUACAAUGCUCUGCAGGGAGCUACUCUAGCUAACUGCUCCAACUUUCAAUAUGUAUCUAGAUCGAGACUUAUAGUCAUCCAGAUCGGUGUCAAAGCUUGCAUCGACAUAACUCUUUACGACAAACUCUUUGUCACCUCCAUAACCGAGAAACAUUUCCUUAUUCCACUAAGGAUAAUUUUGACCGCUAUCCUGUGAUCCACUCCUGGAUCACUAUUGUACCCUCUUGCCAAACUCAUGGUGAGGUACAUAAUAGGUCUGGUACACAGCAUAGCAUACUUUAUAGAACCUAUGACUGAGGCAUAGGGAAUGAAUUUUCAUUCUCUUUCUAUUUUCUGCCGUGGUCGGGUUUUGAGUCUUUACUCAACUUCAUACCUUGCAACACAGGCAAGAACUCCUUCUUUGACUGUUUCAUUUUGAACUACUUCAAAAACUUGUUAGCGUAUGUACUCAUUAAAAAAAUUGUCAAGCAUCUUGAUUUAUCUCUAUAGAUCUUGAUGCUCAAUAUGUAAGCAGCUUCACCGAGGUCUUUCUUUGAAAAACUCCUUUCAAAUACUCCUUUAUGCUUUCCAGAAAAUUCUACAUUAUUUCCGAUCAACAAUAUGUCAUUCACAUAUACUUAUCAUAAAGGCUGUAGUGCUCCCACUCACUUUCUUGUAAAUAGAGGCUUCAUCGCAAGUCUGUAUAAAACUAUAUGCUUUGAUCAACUUAUCAAAGCGUAAAUUCCAACUCUGAGAUGCUUGCACCAGUCCAUAGAUGGAUCGCUGGAGCUUGCACAUUUUGUUAGCACCUUUAGGAUUGACAAAACCUUCUAGUUGCAUCAUAUACAAUUCUUCUUUAAGAUAUCCAUUAAGGAAUGCAAUUUUGACAUCCAUUUGCCAAAUUUCAUAAAAUGUGGCAAUUGCUAACAUGAUUCGGACAGACUUUAAGCAUCGAUAUGAGUGAGAAAAUCUCAUCGUAGUCAACAUCUUGAACUUGUAAAAACCCUUUUCGACAAGUCGACCUUUGUAGAUAGUAACACUACUAUCAGCGUCCAUCUUCCUCUUGAAGAUCCAUUUAUUCUAAAUGGCUCACCGAUCAUCGGGCAAGUCAAUCAAAGUCCAUACUUUGUUCUCAUACAUGGAUCCCAUCUCAGAUUUCAUGGCCUCAAGCCAUUUCGCGGAAUCUGGGCUCAUCAUCGCUUCCUCAUAGUUUGUAGGUUCGUCAUGGUCUAGUAAGAUGGCUUCCAGAAUAGGAUUACCGUACCACUCUGGUGCGUAACAUACUCUGGUUGACCUACGAGGUUCAGUAGUAACUUGAUCUGAAGUUUCAUGAUCAUCAUCAUUAACUUCCUCACUAAUUGGUGUAGGCAUCACUGGAACUGAUUUCUGUGAUGAACCAUUUUCAAAUUCGGGAGAAGGUACAACUACCUCAUCAAGUUCUAAUUUCCUCCCACUCACUUCUUUCGAGAGAAACUCCUUUCUAGAAAGGAUCCAUUCUUAGCAAUAGAUAACUUGCCUUCGGAUAUGUGAUAGAAGGUGUACCCAACAGUUUCCUUUGGGUAUCCUAUGAAGACGCAUUUCUCCGAUUUGGGUUCGAGCUUAUCAGGUUGAAACUUUUUCACAUAAGCAUCGCAACCCCAAACUUUAAGAAACGACAGCUUAGGUUUCUUGCCAAACGACAAUUCAUAUGGUGUCAUCUCAACGGAUUUAGAUGGUGCCCUAUUUAACGUGAAUGCAGGUGUCUCUAAUGCAUAACCCCAAAACAAUAGUAGUAAUUCGGUAAGAGACAUCAUAGAUCGCACCAUAUCUAAUAAAGUACGGUUAUGACAUUCGGACACACCAUUGUGUUGUGGUGUUCCAGGUGGCAUGAGUUUGUGAAACUAUUCCACAUUGUUUUAAUUGAAGGCCAAACUCAUAACUCAAAUAUUCGCCUCUGCGGUCAGAUCAUAGAAACUUUAUUUUCUUGUUACGAUGAUUCUCUACUUCACUCUGAAAUUCUUUGAACUUUUCAAAUGUUUCAUACUUGUGUUUCAUCAAGUAGAUAUAGCCAUAUCUUCUCAAAUCAUCUGUGAAGGUCAGAAAAUAAUGAUACCUGCCGCGAGCCUUAACACUCGUCGGACCGCAUGCAUCGAUAUGUAUUAUUUCCGAUAAGUUAGUGGCUCGCUCCAUUGUUCCGGAGAACGGAGUUUUAGUCAUCUUGCCCAUGAGGCAUGGUUCGCAAGCAUCAAGUGAUUCAUAAUCAAGUGAUUCCAAAAACCCAUCAACAUGGAGUUUCUUAAUGCGCUUUACACCAAUAUGACCUAAACGGCAGUGCCACAAAUAUGUUGCACUAUCAUUAUCAACUUUGCAUCUUUUUGCAUCAAUAUUAUGAAUAUGUGUAUCACUAUGAUCGAGAUUCAAUAAACCAUUUAUUUUGAGUGUAUGACCAUAGAAGGUUUUAUUCAUGUAAAUAGAACAACAAUUAUUUUUUGACUUAAAUGAAUAACCGUAUUGCAAUAAACAUGAUCCAAUCAUAUUCAUGCCCAACGCAAACACCAAAUAAAAUUUAUUUUAGGUUCAACACUAAUCCCGAAGGUAAAGGGAGUGUGCGAUGGUGAUCUUAUCAUCAUUGGAAUCAUCUCCAACACACAUCGUCACCUCGCCCUUAACUAGUCUCUGUUAUGCAACUCUUGUUUCGAGUUACUACUCUUAGCAACUGAACCAGUAUCAAAUACCGAUGGGUUGCUAUAAACACUAGUAAAAUACGCAUCAAUAACAUGUAUAUCAAAUAUGCCUUUGUUCACUUUGCCAUCCUUCUUAUCCACCAAGUAUUUGGAGUUAUUCCGCUUUCAGUGACCAUUCCCUUUGCAGUAGAAGCACUUAGUUUCAGGUUUAGAUCUAGCUUUGGGUUUCGUCACGGGAGUGGCAACUUGCUUGCCAUUCUUUCUUGAAGUUCCCUUUAUUUUCCUUUGCCCCUUUUCUUGAAACUAGUGGUCUUGUUAACCAUCAACACUUGAUGCUCUUUCUUGAUUUCUACCUUCACUGAUUUUAUCAUUGUGAAGAGCUCGGGAAUCAUUUUUUUCAUCCCUUGCAUAUUAUAGUUCAUCACGAAGUUCCAGUAACUUGAUGAUAGUGACUAGAGAACUCUAUCAAUCACUAUAUUAUCUGGAAGAUUAACUCCCACUUGAUUCAAGUGAUUGUAGUACUCAAACAUUCUGAGCACAUGCUCACUGGUUGAGCUAUUCUCCUCCAUCUUGCAGGCAAAGUACUUGUCAUAGGUCUCAUACUCUCGACUCGGGCAUGAGCCUGAAAUACUAAUUUCAACUCUUGGAACAUCUUAUAUGCUCCGUGGCAUUCAAAAUGUUUUUGAAGUCCUGGUUCUAAGACGUAAAGCAUGGCGCACUAAACUAUCAAGUAGUCAUCAUAGUGAGCUUGCCAAACGUUCAUAACGUCUGCAUCUGCUCCUGCAAUAGGUCCAUCACCUAGCAGUGCAUCAAGGACAUAAUUCUUCUAUGCAGCAAUGAGGAUAAUCCUUAGAUCAUGGACCUAGUCUGCAUCAUUGCUACUAUCAUCUUUCAACUCAUUUUUCUCUAGGAACAUAUCAAAAUAAACGGGGAGCUAAAUCGCAAGCUAUUGAUCUACAACAUAGAUAUGCAAAUACUAUCAGGACUAAGUUCAUGAUAAAUUAAAGUUUAAUUAAUCAUAUUACUUAAGAACUCCCACUUAGAUAGGCAUCUCUCUAGUCAUCUAAGUGAUCACGUGAUCCAACUCAACUAAACCAUGUCCGAUCAUCACGUGAGAUGGAGUAGCUUUCAAUGGUGAACAUAACUAUGUUAAUCAUAUCUACUAUAUGAUUCACGCUCAACCCUUCGGUCUCAGUGUUCUGAGGCCAUAUCUGCAUAUGCUAGGCUUAUCAAGUUUAACCCGAGUAUUUUGCGUGUGCAAAACUAGCUUGCACCCAUUGUAUGUGAACGUAGAGCUUAUCACACCCGAUCAUCAUGUGGUGUCUCGGCACGAUGAACUGUAGCAAUGGUGCAUACUCAGGGAGAACACUUAUACCUUAAAAUUUAGUGAGAGAUCAUCUUAUAAUGCUACCGCCGUACUAAGCAAAAUAAGAUGCAUAAAAGAUAAACAUCGCAUGCAAUCAAAAUAUGUGACAUGAUAUGGCCAUCAUCAUCGUGUGCCUUUGAUCUCCAUCUCCAAAGUACUAUCAUGAUCUCCAUCGUCACCGGCAUGACACCAUGAUCUCCAUCAUCUUGAUCUUUAUCAACAUGUCGUCACAUGGUCGGCUCGCCAACUAUUGAUUUUGCAACUAUUGCUAUCGCAUAGCGAUAAAGUAAAGAAAUUAUAUAGCGCUUGCAUCUUAUGCAAUAAAGAGACAACCAUAAGGCUCCUGCCAGUUGUCGAUAACUUUAACAAAGCAUGAUCAUCUCAUACAACAAUUUAUAUCUCAUCACGUCUUGACCAUAUCACAUCACAACAUGCCCUGCAAAAACAAGUUAGACGUCCUCUACUUUGUUGUUGCAAGUUUUACGUGGCUGCUACAGGCUUCUAGCAAGAACCGUUCUUACCUACGCAUCAAGACCACAACGAUUGUUCGUCAAGUGUGUUGUUUUAACCUUCAACAAGGACCGGGCAUAGUCAAACUCGAUUCAACUAAAGUUGGAGAAACAGACACCCGCCAGCCACCUGUGUGCAAAGCACGUCGGUAGAACCAGUCUCAUGAACGUGGUCAUGUAAUGUCGGUCCGGGCCGCUUCAUCCAACAAUACCGCAGAAUCAAAGUAAGAUGUUGCUGGUAAGCAGUAUGACUAUUAUCGCCCACAACUCUUUGUGUUCUACUCGUGCAUAUAACAUCUACGCAUAGACCUGGCUUGGAUGCCACUGUUGGGGAACGUAGUAUUUCAAAAAUUUCCUAUGAUCACGCAAGAUCUAUCUAGGAGAAGCAUAUCAACGAGCGGGGAGAGUGUGUCCACGUACCCUCGUAGACCAAAAGCGGAAGCAUUUAGUAACGCGGUUGAUGUAGUCGAACGUCUUCGCGAUCCAACCGAUCCAAGUACCGAACGCACGGCACCUCCGCGAUCUGCACACGUUCACCUCGGUGACAUCCCUCGAACUCUUGAUCCAAUUGAGGCCGAGGGAGAGUUUCAUCAGCACGACGGCGUGGUGACGGUGAUGAUGAUGUUACCGGCGCAGGGCUUCGCCUAAGCACUACGACGAUAUGACCGAGGUGUUAACUAUGGAGGGGGCGCCGCACACAGCUAGGAACAAUUGAUGUGUGUUCUAGGGGUGCCCUCCCCACGUAUAUAAAGGAGGGAGAGGGAGGGAGGUAGCCUAGGGCGCGCCUAAGUAGUAGGAAUCCUACUUGGGCCCCUAGUCCAAUUUGCCCCCCCCCCCUACCAUAUUUGGACAAGGGGGAAAGGAAGGAGGGAGGAAGGAAGCAGCAGUCCUACUUCAUACUUUCCUUUUCCUCCUCUCCUUUUCCUUUCUCCCCAUGUGGCUGGCCCUAUAGGGGGCGCACCAUCCCCUUGUGGGCUGGUGUGUUCCCUUACUUGGCCCAUUAAGCCCAUAUCUUUGCCGGGGUUUGCCCGGAACCCCUUCCGAUGACCCGGUAUCACCCGGAACACUUUCGGUGUUCGAAUAUAGCCUUCCAAUAUAUGAAUCUUUACCUCUCGACCAUUUCAAGACUCCUCUUCAUGUCCGUGAUCUCAUCCGGGACUCCGAACAAACUUCGGUACAUCAAAUCACAUAGCUCAUAAUACAAAUCAUCAUCGAACGUUAAGCGUGCGGACCCUACGGGUUUGAGAACUAUGUAGACAUGACCGAGACACAUCUCCGAUCAAUAACCAAUAGCGGAACCUGGAUGCUCAUAUUGGUUCCAACAUAUUGUACGAAAAUCUUUAUCGGUCAAACCGCAUAACAACAUACGUUGUUCCCUUUGUCAUCGGUAUGUUACUUGCCCGAGAUUCGAUCAUCGGUAUCAUCAUACCUAGUUCAAUCUCGUUACCGGCAAGUCUCUUUACUCAUUCCAUAAUGCAUCAUACCGCAACUAACUCAUUAGUCACAUUGCUUGCAAGGCUUAUAGUGAUGUGCAUUACCGAGAGGGCCCAGAGAUACCUCUUUGACAAUCAGAGUGACAAAUCCUAAUCUCGAUCUAUGCCAACUCAACAAACACCAUCGGAGACACCUGUAGAGCAUCUUUAUAAUCACCCAGUUACGUUGUGACGGUUGAUAGCACACAAGGUGUUCCUCCGGUAUUCGGGAGUUGCAUAAUCUCAUAGUAAGAGGAACAUGUAUAAGUCAUGAUGAAAGCAAUAGCAAUAAAACUAAACGAUCAUUUAUGCUAAGUUAAUGGAUGGGUCAUGUCCAUCACAUCAUUCUCUAAUGAUGUGAUCCCGUUCAUCAAAUGACAACACAUGUCUAUGGUUAGGAAACUUAACCAUCUUUGAUUAACGAGCUAGUCAAGUAGAGGCAUACUAGGGACACUCUGUUUGUCUAUGUAUUCACACAUGUACUAAGUUUCCGGUUAAUACAAUUCUAGCAUGAAUAAUAAACAUUUAUCAUGAUAUAAGGAAAUAUAGAUAACAACUUUAUUAUUGCCUCUAGGGCAUAUUUCCUUCACCGACACCACCAACUCAUUAAUUAUUCUCAACAAAGUAUUUCCACGUCUAGUGAUAACCAUACGUGUCUGACUAGAUGGAAUCCAGUGAUCGUCCCAAAUACUAAUUUUAUCUCCUGAGCCAAUUCUCCAAAUAUGACUUCUCCGAAAGGUUUGGAGUCCCGCAAAAAUACUUUGCCAUGUAAAAAUGAAUUCUUUUUAGGCUCUUCUUUGAGGUGGUUUCCAUCUAGGUAAUAUUUGGCCCGGAGAACUCUUGCACAUAAAAUAUCUGGCUUAGAUAAUAGCCUCCAACUUUGCUUAGCAAGCAUAGCUAAAUUGAAAGCAUGGAGAUCCCUAAAUCCCAUGCCUCCCCCUGAUUUUUGGUAGAUGCAUUCUCCACCAUGCCACCCAAUGCAUUUUCUUUUCUUCCUCCGUAUCUCCCCACCAAAAGGCAGACAUGGCAUCAGUGAUUUCUUUGCACACCUUCUUAGGGAUUUUAAAAAUAGACAUAGCAAAAACAGGGAUUGAUUCAAUGAUUGCUUUUAAUUGAAUUUCCUUACAACCAAAAGAUAACAAUUUUUCCUUCCAUCCUUGGAGCCUAUUAACCACCCUCUCCACCAAAUAUUUGAAGCUAUCACUCCUAUCCGAACCAAUCGUAGAAGGGAGACCAAGAUAUGUAUCUGAGAGGGCUUCUGUCAUGAUAUUGAGUUCUGCACAUAUUUGAGCUUUGACUUCUACUUACACAUUAGGACUGGAAAAAAUACUGCUCUUCCCAUCACUCACUAAUUGACCAAAGCUUGUCUGAUAGUCAUCCAAUACAUGUCUCGAUGAGGUUGCAUUAUUCAUAUCUGCCUUCAUAAGGAUUAAGGAAUCAUCAUCAAAAAGUAAAUGAGAGACUGAUGGUGCAUUCCUACACACCCUAACACCUUCAAUGCCACGAACCUCCUCUGCUUGAUCCAAAGCACUAGACAACCCUUCUGCACAAAUAAGAAAAAGAUAUGGUGGCAAAGGGUCCCCUUGGCGGAGCCCCCUUGUGGGAAUGAAGCCUGCCAUUUCUUGAUCAUUAUAUCUCACUUUACAUUUAACAAAGGUAACACAAGCUAGUAUCAGGUCAAUGAUAUCCCUAUGGAAACCCAAUCUUUCCAUCAUUUUUUCAAGAAACUUCCACUCAACCCGGUCAUAGGCCUUGUGUCUGUCAAGCUUGACAGGACAAUAUCCAAAAUUCCCCUUCUUCUUGUUCUUGAUGGUAUGUGGGCAUUCAUAGGAUAAUAAUAUAUUACCUGUAGUUAGACACCCAGGGACAAAUGCACUUUGUACCAGAUAAAUAAUCUCAUCAAGGAUAGCCUUGAGGCAAAAAGCAAUCACCUUGGAAAUCACCUUAUACAAUACAUUACAUAGGCUACUAGGUCCGAAGGAAAUAUGCCCUAGAGGAAAUAAUAAUGUUGUUAUUUUAUAUUUCCUUAUUCAUGAUAAAGGUUUAUUAUUCAUGCUAGAAUUGUAUUGAUCGAAAACUUAAAUACAUGUGUGAAUACAUAAACAAAUACCGUGUCCCUAGUAAGCCUCUACUAGACCAGCUCGUUGAUCAAAGAUGAUUAAGGUUUUCUAACCAUAGACAUGUGUUGUCAUUUGAUAACGGGAUCACAUCAUUAGAAGAAUGAUGUGAUGGACAAGACCCAUCUGUUAGCAUAGCAUAUUGAUCGUUCAGUUUAUUGCUAUUGCUUUCUUAAUGUCAAAUACAUGUUCCUUCGACUAUGAGAUUAUGCAGCUCCCGGAUACCGAAGGAAUACCUUGUGUGCUAUCAAACAUCACAAAGUAACUGGGUGAUCGUAAAGAUGCUCUACAGGUAUCUCCGAAGGUGUUUGUUGAGUUGGCAUAGAUCGAGAUUAGGAUUUGUCACUCUGAGUAUUGAAGAGGUAUCUCUGCGCCCGGUAAUACACAUCAUAAGAAGCCUCGCAAGCAAAGUAACUAAUGAGUUAGUGGCAAUAUGAUGUAUUACAGAACGAGUGAAGAUACUUGUCGAUAAUGAUAUUGAACUAGGUAUGAAGAUGCCGACGAUCGAAUCUCAGGCAAGUAACAUACCGAUAGACAAAGGGAAUUACUUAUGUUCUCAUAAGGUUCGACUGAUAAAGAUCUUCAUAGAAUAUGUAGGAGCCAAUAUGGGCAUCCGGGUUACACUAUUUCUUAUUGACCGGAGAGUGAAUCGGUCAUGUCUACAUAGUUCUCGAACCCAUAGGGUCCGCAUGCUUAAUGUUCGUUGACGAUAUAGUGUUAUAUGAGUUAUAUGAUUUGGUGACCGAAUGCUGUUCGGAGUACCGAAUAAGAUCACAGACAUGACAAGGAGUCUCGAAAUGGUCGAGAUGUAAAGAUUGAUAUAUAGGACGAUGGUAUUCGGACACUGGAAGUGUUCCGAAGUGCACCGCGUAGUCAUCGGGUCACCGGAAGGGGUUCCGGACACCCCCCCCCCCCCCGGUAAGUGUAUGGGCCUAAUGGGCCAAAGGAAGGGACACACCAGCCCACUAGGGGGCUGGCGCGCCCCUCUCCUUGGAUGGCCGGCCCUGGGGGGAAGGACGGGGGAGGGGUGGCCCCUCCUACAUUUCCCUCCUCAGGAGAGAAAGGAAAGGGGGGCGCCGCCUCCUCCUUCCUUCCUCCCACACUUAUAUAAGGAAGGGGGGCGCCACUUGGGGAGGACCCCACGUAGGAUUCAACCUACUUGGGGGCACCUCCUGGCUGCUCCCUCCUCCCCCCCCCACCUAUAUAUAUGUGGGAGGGGUGCCUAGCACAACACAACAUUGUCUUAGCCGUGUGCGGCAUCCCCCUCCACUGUUUACACCCCCGGUCAUAUUUUCAUAGUGCUUAGGCAAAGCCCUACGUAGAUAGCUUCGCCAUCACCGUCACCACGCUGUCGUGCUGCCAGAACUCAUCCACUACCUCGUCGUCUUGCUGGAUCAAGAAGGCGGAGGAUGUCACCGAGUUGAACGUGUGUUGAACGCAGAGGUGCCGUACGUUCGGUACUCGAUCAAUCGGAUCGCGAAGAAGUUUGACUACAUCAACCGCGUUACUAAACGCUUCCGCUUACGGUCUACGAGGGUACAUAGACACACUCUCCUCUCUCGUUGUUAUGCAUUUCCAGGGAUAGAUCUUUUGUGUGUGUAGAUCUUUUUUGUUUUCCAUGCUACGUUUCCCAACAAGGUCGAUAUUGAGUAAUUCUCUCUGGGCUAGCGACCUUGGGGAUUAAAAGUAUAAAUGUAUCGUUUCACCCUUCUGGUAUAACUUUGUUGUUGAUAGCAUAUAGAACUUCUACAAUAAGUGCAUCACCAAGAAUGUGCCAACAUUUUUUGAAGAAAAUCGCAUGCAAUCCAUCGGUCCCUGGGGCUUUCAUGUGCCCAAUGGAGAAAAUAGCUCUUUUAAUCUCUUCUGCCACGUACGGUUUCAACAAAGAAUCGUUCAUCUCAUUAGUAACUCUCAAGGUAACUUUGUCCAAAAAAACCGGGUCCGGUUCAUCUACUUCAGUGCAGAACAAUCCAUAGAAAUAAUCAGCAAUGUGGGGGUUCAGGUAGUCUGUACCCUCGAUCCAUGCCCCUUGAUCAUCUCUAAAUUUAGUGAUUAUGUUUCUUGCCUUACAUGCAGAUGCAAAGUUCUGGAAAUACGAGGUAUUUUUGUCUUCAAACAUCAGUCAGUUCAACCUGCUCCUUUGAGCCAACUGGAUUUCUUCCAUCUCCAACAAGCGCUCAAGCUCUACAGCUAGAUCCUUCUGCCUCUAAAUGUUCUGCGAAGAUAAAGAAUCCCUUGCAACUUUCUGCAGUUCUCUCUGAACAUUUUUUGGAGGGUUUCUUUAGAAUAGUUCUGCCCCAUUUAUGUAGCUCCUUGUGGACAACAGCAAGCCUUUCUGCAAGAUUAGAUGUACAUUCAGUAGCUUCAAAACACUGCCAAGCUUGCUCGACAACCUCACGAAAUUUAUCCUCCUUUAGCCAGCGGGCUUCAAAUCGAAGGACCGACUGUCACACAGUAUCCUGACAGAUCUCUUCAUUCAUGUUCAUAAUAAUCGGCUUAUGACCCGACUUGUAAAAAUCCAAAUGUUGUAAGACUGCCCCUGGAAACAUCGAAUUCCAUCCAUCAUUCACGAGAGCACGAUCUAACCGUUCUCUGAUAAGGGCACGAUGCCAAGUAAAUUUAUCAUCGAUGAAUCCAUGAUCUGAUAAGUUACACUCAUCCACCACGUCUCUGAACGCUUGCAUGAAGUGAGUUGGUCUUUAAUUCCCACCUUCCUUCUUAAAAGAGUACAUUAUUUCGUUCAUGUCUCCUAUCACCAUCCAUGGCAUAUCCCCAAUGGAUUUUAGUUCCCUCAACCGAUCCCAAGAUAAAUGUUUAUCCUUCCACUUUGGCUCACCGUAGAACUCAGUCAACCUCAAUGAUUAUCAGCCCCACUUCCAAUAAACACAUCAAUGAAAUUCUCCUUAAUAUCUCUGAGGGAGACUGCAAACUCUUUUUCCCACAACAUUAUCAAACCACCACUCCGGCCAUCACUUCGGACAACAUACUUAUGAUCCAUCUUAGUUCAGCGAUGUAGACACUCCGUAGGGAACUCAUCCAGGUGUGUUUCCAUUAGGAACAUUACGUCCAAACACCUGCACUUCUGAGCAUUCAAAAGCGCUCGUACUGCCGCAGCAUUUUGCAGGCCACGACAAUUCCAACUCAGUAUCCUCAUUGCAACCAAAAAACCUACCAUAUCCUGAACAAUACGGAGGGACAAGAAACCGACACACCACCCUGCAGAGCAACGGGGUUGUGCCGGGACAGAAAAACAACUUCUCCAAACGUGUGUUGGGACGUGAGCUUUACAGGCGCCUGAUCCUUUGAAGCAACCUAGAGAAACAGAUCAUAGUUCGCAGAAACAACAGCCCAGCUAACUCAUCUCUUCUCCUCCUCUUGUCUUGCCAUCAAGCUAGAUUCCCAGGAAGGGCCCAUGACCCUUGCCGGGGCAGAUACCAGAUAGGCAGCCAUUGCUGCCGGCGGCGGCGGCCAAAACCCUAGUCGUGCUAGGGAUCGCCUUUCUCCUGAAGAAAAUGCUUCAAGCAUCAAGGUUAAGAUUUCUUGUCAUGCGUAUGUGAUAUGAUGGCGGGUGCUUCACAUCAAUUCAAGAGUUCAACGGCGACGACUACGGUUCUGGGGCGCUGAUCCUAUGGGCACGUGCAUGAAGAUUUCUCGGCUGCCAUCAACAAGGUCGGGCCGGCUUCGGUAGCAGAGAAGCGACAGCUCUUCCUGGCGGCGGUAGUGGUCGUUCGGUGAUCCAGAUCCUCGAUGCAAUCUUAAUUAUAUUUGGGGUGCUUUGUACUUUUCUUGAACCUUUAUAAUAUAUCCGGCGCCUUUUCGCAAAAAAAAACAUAUGUACGUGAAGGGAUUGAAAUACUCCCUCUAUUUACUUAUACAAGGCCACUAUGAGAUAUAUGUUUUGCAUCUAUACAAGGCCACAAACAUUAAUCGAGAAAAGAAUUAAUGAUAUUUUCUCAUACUAGCAAUUUGUUUAAUGCUUGCAUACAUGCCAUCAUAAUGACACUAAUUAGUUCCUCCAUUCAAUUUCCUUGCAUGCAUGUUGCGUAUUAAUGAUUUCGGUAAACGAAAAAAAAAUUGACCUGCAAAAUAUGGAUUAAAUUUUACCUUGAUACCUGUAAAAUGAGUUUAUGACCUUGUAUAUAGAAAUGAAGAGAGUACGAAUGAUCGCCGAAUACAAGUGCAGAUUACGCACGUGCUUACUUCGGCGUGCGGCGGACGCAGGUUGUAUCUGGGGAUGUCUAUUGUCUAGCACAGUCAGACCUCGCGCCGCUCGCACGCACGCGUGGCCCACGUCGCGUGUACGUUUGGCAUGGAUAGUUGGCCGCUUCUAUGCCGCUGCGCCCGCGCGUCCCUCGGACCACGUCAGAGAUAUCCUUUUGCGCCGCGCGGAAGCAUCGCACCGAUUUCCAUUUUUCUUUUAUAUAAAUAUCGCAUCGAUUUAGCGCCGCAUGCCUCCUCCGUACGCGGCGGCUAACUACUCCCGACCGAGACGGAAUUCAUGUGUCGAGGAUUUGAUUAACAGCGUGCUUUUUGGGGGGCAACUAUUAGGAUUAAAAUCAUGUGUUUUCACAUUACUAAAAUCGAUUUUUAAUACUACCUUCAUCUAGGUGAAUAAAUCAUUCGCGUAGUUCUAAGUUAUCAAUUUGAAGAAUUAAAUAUAUGUUAUAUGUCAUAAAAAGUAUAUCACUAGAUUUCUACACUGAUGUAAUUUCUAAAUAUAUAUUUUUUAUCAAAUAUAAUACAUAUUUAGAUAGUUAAAUCGUUGACCUAAAACUAGAUAGUUAAAUCGUUGACCUAAAACUAGAUGAAUGACUUAUUCAGCUAGACGAAGAUAGUAGUAGGAAAAGCCAAUAAUUGCUAAGAGUAGUGGAAUUGCGGCAAACGCCUCUGAAAAUAGCCUCAGAUCUAUUCCCUCCGUUUCUAAAUAUUGGUUUUUUUAGAGAUCUAUUCCCUCCGUUUCUAAAUAUAGAUCUUUUUAGAGAUUCUAUUGGGAGUACAUACGAAACAAAAUGAGUGAAUCUACACUCUAAAGAUUCUACUGGGACUACAUACGGAACAAAAUGAGUGAAUCUACACUCUAAAAUAUGUCUAUAUACAUCCAUACUUAGUUCAUAGUAAAAUCUCUAAAAAGACUUAUAUUUAAGAACAGAGGGAGUAAACACCAAAAUCGACGUAAAUAUUCGCAUAUGCUUUCGUUGUAAGAUUUGGCCGACCAGUUAUAUAACGAUAUUAAACAAGCAAUAUGGGAACAUUUUUUUUGAACAAAUAUGGGAACACCCGUAUUUGCAAGAAAUACAAUGUAGCAGAAUCAAAAUAGUUUACAUCAGAUUCAAACAAACAUAUAACAAAACAACAAAGCCAACCAGUCCUCAAUUAUACAAUUAUAAGAAAAUCGUAAGAAUGAGAACAGAAGUAAAAUAUGCACUCCAAACAAAUCUAAACCAAGCUUUCAAUCCAAGUCCGUACCAAGAUGGCUGUGAGCAACACCGUUGAUUGCUUGAUACAGAGUAUGAUGGGUCCACACAAUACGAACGUUUUCAAAGAAAAAUGAAAUGGUUACUUGUCAUCUAUAAACUGUCUUGCAGCUCACUGAGAGCUGCCAUUCGCAGGGCAUGCGAACUUGUCGGUACCGGUAGUCCAGCAGCGUGGCCGGGAACAUCCUUCUCGAUUAGAACACUGUUGUCUUCAAAGUCAUGUGAAAGUUGCAGCUUUGAUAAAAGCUUCCCCAUAUUACAUGACAAAAACUAAUUUCAAUGGCACCCAGUCAGUCAAAGAGCACCAAUCCAACCAAGCAUGCGAGGUUAUGCACACUCCACAAUGCGAUUAUGCACAACUCACUCUUCCAUCAUCUAUCAUCUCUUUGAUCCAAAAACAUCAGAUUGGUAAAACUUGCAUUAGCUACGCUCCAGAGAACAUGGUAACAUAUGCACAUAACAGGACAUUGGUGAGCUCUAGGGAGUCAACAUGCCUAACUUCAAUUUUUAUUUCAAGAAAAAUGGCAUAUUGCAUGUACCAAUUAUUAUAAUGAACCGUCAACAAGGAAAUUUGAUAAGUACUAAGAAAGAAUUAAUAUUGUUUCUACAGUGAUAGCAGUUUCCCCUCAAAUGUAUUACCAAAAUGAUGGAAAGCAAGGUAAACAGACCAUGGUCUGAACAGAUCUGCCUAAAAAAUGUUUAGCAGUCGUUUCACCAAUACCAACAGAGGGGCGGGGGGUAAUCUUUAAUUGAUGAUGGGGAAAUGUAGUGGAAUUUGCUCUGGUUAGUUCAACAGAUCUUUUUUUUUUGGUAAGACCAACCAAAAUACUGAUGCAAGUCUGAUGUACAAGUAUCAAUUUCUGAUCCUCUGCUAUCCCAUUGUCGAGAAUUUCCAAAACAUAACUAACAGUGCAAGCUAAGUGCUCCUAAACAUUACUUACGUUAGUAAGUAAACUAAUUGUGAAUGGAAGGGAAAAUCCCACGUUGAAAGAAUCUAUAAUAAACAUAUCUUAGAUUUUAUCUGAAAGAAAAAGCCGCCAUUAUCGAGCCAUUAGACAUUAACAGCAAUACCCAAACUGGACAUGAGUUAAAACUGAAGACCACAAACAUAACUUGGACAAAACCAAUCGAGAAAAAUCAAGGAGUCUAUGUAAUACUUCACUGCAGAUGAAAGACAUCUAAGACAGAUAUAUAGCUAGAAUCCAUUAUAACAAAUAGCAAUUUCCCCUGAGUCCAGUGUCCACGACAAGCAAACAAAUUUCAGGAGGGUAUUAACAAAUGGAUGAUCUUGAUCAAAAUCUGUAGAGAUAUGAAAAGCCAUGACUCCAGUUGCCAACUUCACAACGUUUACCAUGAGGCUGUGACUCAACUAUAUGGUCCCAAGGGGAAGAAACUUGAAACGACAGCAGCGACUACGGACACAGAUGGACCCCAGACAUUCAGACUGAAACUUGACGACGACGCUGAACCUUCUUGACCUCAUUACUGUUCUAGGAC
rnacentral:lncRNA from 1 species